rnacentral:rRNA from 1 species
UACGUAGGGGGCUAGCGUUGUCCGGAAUCAUUGGGCGUAAAGAGCGUGUAGGCUGCUCGGUAAGUCCGCUGUAAAAGUCAAAGGCUCAACCUUUGAAUGUCAGUGGAUACUGCCGGGCUAGAGUCCGGAAGAGGCGAGUGGAACUCCUGGUGUAGCGGUAGAAAUGCGCAGAUAUCGGGAGGAACACCGGUGGCGAAGGCGGUUCUCUGGGCCUGACCUGACGCUGAGGAGCGAAAGCGUGGGGAGCGAACAGG